rnacentral:rRNA from 1 species
UCAAGUUAUUAAGGGUGCAGGGCGGAUGCCUUGGCACUAGGAGCCGAUGAAGGACGUGAUAAGCUGCGAUAAGCUUCGGGGAGUUGCACGUAAACUUUGAUCCGAAGAUUUCCGAAUGAGGAAACUCACUUAGAGUAAUGUCUAAGUAUCAUUAAGUGAAUACAUAGCUUAAUGAGGGGAACUCAGGGAACUGAAACAUCUAAGUACCUGAAGGAAGAGAAAGAAAUUCGAUUCCGUAAGUAGCGGCGAGCGAACGCGGAUUAGCCCAAACCAAUAAAGUUUUCUUUAUUGGGGUUGCGGACAUAUCAUAACGAAGAGGUAUCGUAAUUGAAGAGGUUUGGAAAGACCCACCACAGAAGGUAAUAGUCCUGUAUGUUAAACGAGAAGACUUUAGAUAUGAUCCAGAGUACCACGGGACACGUGAAACCCUGUGGGAAGCAGGAGGGACCACCCUCCAAGGCUAAAUACUACCUAGUGACCGAUAGCGUAUAGUACCGUGAGGGAAAGGUGAAAAGAACCCCGGGAGGGGAGUGAAAUAGAACCUGAAACCCUGCACUUACAAGCUGUGGAAGCACAUUUCUUGUGUGACCGCGUACUUUUUGUAGAACGGGCCAACGAGUUACGUUAAGUAGCAAGGUUAAGCACUUAAGGUGCGGAGCCGUAGCGAAAGCGAGUUUUAACUGAGCGUUCAGUUACUUGACGUAGACCCGAAACCGGGCGACCUACCCAUGAGCAGGAUGAAGCGAAAGUAAAAUUUCGUGGAGGUCCGAACCCACGAGCGUUGAAAAGCUCGGGGAUGACUUGUGGGUAGCGGUGAAAUUCCAAUCGAGCCCGGAGAUAGCUGGUUCUCCCCGAAAUAGCUUUAGGGCUAGCCUCAAGGUGAGAGAUACGGAGGUAGAGCACUGAAUGUCCUAGGGGGUAUUGCACCUACCGAAGACUAUCAAACUCCGAAUGCCGUCAUCUUAUACUUGGGAGUCAGACUGUGGGUGAUAAGAUUCAUAGUCGAAAGGGCAACAGCCCAGAUCGUCAGCUAAGGUCCCUAAAUGUAAGUUAAGUGGUAAAGGAUGUGGGAUUGCACAGACAACCAGGAUGUUGGCUUAGAAGCAGCCACUCAUUCAAAGAGUGCGUAAUAGCUCACUGGUCGAGUGAUCCUGCGCCGAAGAUUUCCGGGGCUAAAACUUACUACCGAAGCUACGGCAUCAGUAAUGAUGGGUAGGGGAGCUUCCCAUACGGGUUGAAGCAUGACCGUAAGGACAUGUGGACAGUAUGGGAGUGAGAAUGUUGGCAUGAGUAGCGAGAUGUGGGUGAGAAUCCCACAGGCCGUAAACCCAAGGUUUCCAGGGGAAGGUUCGUCCGCCCUGGGUUAGUCGGGACCUAAGCUGAGGCCGAAAGGCGUAGGUGAUGGACAACAGGUUGAUAUUCCUGUACUACCGAUAACCGUUUGAGAGAUGGGAUGACACAGUAGGAUAAGCUAAGCACACUGUUGGUUAUGUGUGCCCAAGCAUUGAGGCAGUCAAAGUAGGCAAAUCCGCUUUGAUAAUGCUGGGAUGUGAUGGGGAGCGAAAUUUAGUAGCGAAGUAGCUGAUUUCACACUGUCAAGAAAAGUCUCUAUCGAGGUUAAAGGUACCCGUACCGCAAACCGACACAGGUGGGUGAGGAGAGUAUCCUAAGGCCAGCGAGAGAACUGUUGUUAAGGAACUCGGCAAAAUGACCCCGUAACUUAGGGAUAAGGGGUGCCACCAUCAGGUGGCCGCAGAGAAUAGGCCCAAGCGACUGUUUACCAAAAACAUAGGUUUCUGCUAAGUCGCAAGACGAUGUAUAGGAGCUGACGCCUGCCCGGUGCUGGAAGGUUAAGGGGAUCUGUUAGAGCAAUCGAAGCAGUGAACUUAAGCCCCAGUAAACGGCGGCCGUAACUAUAACGGUCCUAAGGUAGCGAAAUUCCUUGUCGGGUAAGUUCCGACCCGCACGAAAGGCGUAACGAUUUGGGCACUGUCUCAACAACAGACUCGGUGAAAUUGUAAUUCCGGUGAAGAUGCCGGAUACCUGCGACAGGACGGAAAGACCCCAUGGAGCUUUACUGUAGCUUGACAUUGGGUCUUGGUACUACAUGUACAGGAUAGGUGGGAGGCUUUGAAACCAGGACGCCAGUUUUGGCGGAGCCAUCCUUGGGAUACCACCCUUGUAGUACUGGGACUCUAACCAUAGGCCAUGAAUCUGGUCUUGGGACACUGUCA